rnacentral:misc_RNA from 1 species
UCCGGUUUGUCACCGGCAGUCUGGCGUGAGUCCCCAACUUAAUGCUGGCAACACGCCACGGGGGUUGCGCUCGUUGCGGGACUUAACCCAACAUCUCACGACACGAGCUGACGACAGCCAUGCAGCAUCUGUGGUGCACCCUCGAAGGUCACACGUUUCCGUGCGCUUGCAGCACCAUGUCAAGCCUAGGUAAGGUGGGGAUGACGUUACUUACAGCGUAC